rnacentral:snoRNA from 1 species
AAGAGCUCACUUGAACGGGAUCUGUUUUAGUGGUUGUACAUCCGUUUCCAUUGACACAAUGGAGACACGCACAACAAUUUGGAAGAUGACAUAAUUGCCACGUGGCUAAAGUGUGAAUGCUGGCACUGCAGGGGCUUCAUCAGCCCUCGGUGAUCGCUCUCACAACCAACAACGGGCUGAUGAAGAUGGCCAUCUGGCCGUCUGACAGACC